rnacentral:rRNA from 1 species
UGGGGAAUAUUGGACAAUGGGCGAAAGCCUGAUCCAGCCAUGCCGCGUGUGUGAAGAAGGUCUUCGGAUUGUAAAGCACUUUAAGUUGGGAGGAAGGGCAGUAAGCGAAUACCUUGCUGUUUUGACGUUACCGACAGAAUAAGCACCGGCUAACUCUGUGCCAGCAGCCGCGGUAAUACAGAGGGUGCAAGCGUUAAUCGGAAUUACUCGGCGUAAAGCGCGCGUAGGUGGUUCGUUAAGUUGAAUGUGAAAGCCCCGGGCUCAACCUGGGAACUGCAUCCAAAACUGGCGAGCUAGAGUAGGGCAGAGGGUGGUGGAAUUUCCUGUGUAGCGGUGAAAUGCGUAGAUAUAGGAAGGAACACCAGUGGCGAAGGCGACCACCUGGGCUCAUACUGACACUGAGGUGCGAAAGCGUGGGGAGCAAACAGG